CUGGCCUGAAGCCUCUGGGCACUCCGGGCUUUUGCUGCUGCGCCCGCCGCCGCCGUCGCCACCACCAUCGCCACCGCUACCGCCACCACCGCGGGGCUCCAGGAGGAGGCGCAGCCGAAGAGGGCGGAGGAGAAGCAGGAGGAGGAGGAGGAGGAGGAGGAGGAGGGGAAAAGAGGU
rnacentral:lncRNA from 1 species